rnacentral:lncRNA from 1 species
AAACCCUAAACCCUAAACCCUAAACCUAAACCUAAAACCCUAAACCCUAAACCCUAAAACCCUAAACCCUAAAACCCUAAACCCUACCUAAACCCUAAACCCUAAACCCACCCUAAACCCUAAACCCUAAACCCUAAACCCUAAACUCCUAAACCCUAAACCCUAACCUAAACCCUAACCAAACCCAAACCUAAACCUAAACAACACUAAACCUAACCCUAAAACCCUAAACCCUAAACCCAAACCCCAAACCCUAAACCCUAAACACCAAACCCCAAACCCUAAAACCCUAAAACCCUAAACCCUAAACCCUCUUAUGACCCAAAAGCCCCUUAUGUUCCGAAAAGCCUUUAAAUGGCCCCAAGGCCCGAAGCCCCUACCAUAAAGCCUGAAAUCCUAAAAGCCCUAAUGGUCCUAAAAGCCUGAAGCCUGAAAGGCCUUUAAAAGGCCCCAAGGCCCCAAGCCCUGAGGCCUUGCACCAAAUAAAAUUCAUAAACGUAAGCCCCGGAAGGCCCUAAAGUCUGUAAAGCCGGAAAGGCCUUUAAAAAGCCCCAAGCAUGAGCUAGGACUGUGUAAAGUCCACAUAAUUGGGUUGGACUUGGGCUUAGUCUUGGGCUACUUCCUUGGCCCCAUAUAUAACUUGCGCGAAGCCUAUAUGCUUUGGGUUAAAUAAGGAUUGGGCUUAUUUGGAGCUUGGUAAGGCCCAUAUAAUUGAUAUCUGAUUUGAGCCGGCCUUGUAUAUAGAUUUUCAUCAAGCUUGGGCCCAUAUAAAGGUUUCGUAAACAAAGUAUCAGACAAUACUACAGAGAAACAUUAAAAAUAUAUAUAUAUUGAAACACAAAAAUGUUGUCAUUUAGGGUUUAGCAUUUAAACACAAUAAUACAGGAAACAUUGACAAAAAAAAAAAAGAGAACAUAUAAGAGAGUACAAAGAGUUAAAGAAAAUAACUAAAUAACAAAAGAAAACAAAAUUGAGUUAAAAACACAAAGAAAAUUUUAGGGGGUAUCCUGAAUAUUUAAUUUUGUUCUACAAAAUGUUACCAACAAAACAUUUGCAAGAAUAGAAAGUUUAAGCAAAAGAAUAGAAUUUUUUCAAAUCUGACGAUCUUUGCACACAUGUGAAUUAAAAGAAAGCAGCAAUUGUGGAUAGCAAAACAUGAACAACAGCAACCUUAAAUCAUGACGAUGAAAUUGAAACAAAAAAUAAAGAAAAUCAAUUCAAAAGAGUUAAAAAUAGGAUAACAAACAAACAAACAAACAAACAAACAAACAGAGUUUAAAAAAAUAAAGAAAAAACCACAAGCAUCAGAGUUCCAAACACAAGAACACAAAGUUAUAAUAAUAUUAAGUCGAAACCAUAAGAACAAGUCAGUAAUGCAAUUUUGAAUGAUAACAUGAAUUAGGUACAACAAAAGAUAAUAAUGUUACAAUAGUAAAUUUUUAGAUGUCCUAAAGAAUUGAACUCAAUUGCCUAAGACAAUAAACGAGCAAAAACGAGAGUAAAAGAAAGGCAAAAGCAAACAAACAAAGAGAUAAAUAGAGUGUAGGCAAAAUUGAAGACCGUUAGAGGUUAGGCCAAAAUCAAAGAAGAAUAAGAAAGGGAAAAGGGAUGGAUAAGGUGACAGUGAUCAUUAAAAGGUAAUAUCAAAAAACUCACAAAUUGUUUCUAGAAAACUACAAGAGGAUGAACAUGAACAAGAACAAGAAGAAAACAUCAAGAGAUGGAAGGGAAAUGCAAAUAUAUUUUUGUUAACCAUUGAAAACAUCAAUAAUUGAAAAUUUUAUGGAAACAAAAAUAUUUAAGAGAACUAGUCAAUAUAGACAUUUUACAUAUUAAUCUCGAUAUGUUACAAAAGCUAGAGGAGGUACUUGGGUAGGGUUGGGUUGCUUCCAAUAACAGAAUUACAUGGUCAACCAAAGCCUAAUGCGAUUCGAUUUGACCGAAGGGGAGGCCAACCCAACUUCAAUAAUAACUGGUCAUCGGCAAACUUGGUCACUCAGAUAAAUUGGGUUCAACCCAUUUUAUACAAAAUUACCUAUUUAAAUACUGUUUGGGGAACCAAGUGAUCAACCAUUAUGCCAUUGGAAACUCACCCAACUCUUUAACCAAUUAAAUCCAAAAUGUAUGAUUUAUUUCACCGCAAAUAUCUAAUUGAAUUGUGCCAAAAUAUAUGAUUUAUGUCACCGCAAUUAUGUAGUUGAAUUGGCACAAUACAACAAACUGUGACCUCUUCGCACUCCAAAGCAUAGUUGUCAUGGCUUGAAUUAGACCACAGGCUAAAUCUAGACUUGAUUCAAAAAAAGUUUCAAGUUGCUUAUAAAAUAUAUAGAAAGUGAGACCUAAGUCAACCUAGGUUAGGUUCAGUGAAAAUUUGCCACCAAACAAAAGCAAAAUUAGUAUCUGUUUAAGCAAACAUAUUAAAAUCACUAAACAAAGGUUGAAAAGCCAUGCAUAAGAAAAUGUGUCCAGAUACAAAAGAACAAAGUUAAAGCAGUAUAACCUGCAAUUGGCGAAAAGAGGAAGAAGAACAUAUCAAAAUUAAGGAAAGGCAUAACAAAACACAAAAAAGAGGUCAAGGAAAGAGAAGAAAAGAAUUAUAUAGUAAUUACGAGUAAAGAGAAGAAAAAAAAAUUAGUGGUGCAAUACUGCCUUCACAACCAACUUGAAUUAUUUUAGUUAUUACCAUUUUGUUGUCAUAGGCAAUUAAUAAAAUUAAGGCAAACCCACUAACCUAAACCUUAGUUGAGAGAAUUAGUUAAGAGGGAGAAUCUAAAAAUCUGAGCCAAUCUACACCUCCAGUUGAGAAAAGAGAAGAGCCAGUCUAUACCUCCAGUUGAGAGAAGAGAAGAGGGAAGAAAAGUACGAAAUAAGAAAGCGAUCCACAGUCGCUUUCGAAAUUUUAUUCUAUUGUGUUUAUCAAUAUUCAAAUUAUGGCAAAAAUAUCAUAAAUCAACUUGUAUUGUUUAAGUUAUUGUAGAUUCAUUUUAAUAGUGCCAACUACAUUCAACAAAGUAUAGAAUAUGUAGGAGAACAAACUCUCCUUUUUCUCAAAAAAUAUAAAAUAUAUUUUUGUACCAAAACUUUUUUCUUGAAAGAACUUACGUAUUCUAAUUUUUAAGAAGAGCGCACAAAAAAGAUUAAAUGCACAAUGUUAAUUUAAUUCCAAUUCUAAUCCAAUAUAGUUUACAUUUCAAUGACAAAUAGGAUUAGCAUUUGGUAGUUUCUUAUUCACAACAAGAUAUCCUUAGAUUGUUCAAACGACUAAAUCCAGAACCAAUUGUGAUUAAGAAAUCUAAACAAAUUUUAGUGAUUAAAAUUUAAUGCAAACUUACGCACUAUGGAAUCCAAAAAUUGUAGAAGAGAAAAUAUCACCAAAAGUGUGAUCAAUACCAUCCAUUGACCAAUGGUGUCAUCAUGCUUAGGCCAAAUCAAGCAAUAAUUGCAAGAUACGAACUGAAAUUCUUCAACCUGCAAACAAAGCCUCUUUCAACAUCCGGUGGUGUAAAGGUUAAAGAGAAAGAAAGAGCGAGGAUCUGAGAACUUCCUAAUAAAUUUAUAUUUUAAAUAAAUAGAAUAAAGAAAAACAUACUUGUCAUAGAGUUCGAACUUUGUGCAUUGGUUGCGCCCGUCCCAGAGACUACAACAAGAUAGCAGUGGCCACUUCCAUGUGAAUAAUAAGUUGCAUUUCGUUUAAUUCACAACCCAAGAAAUAAAUCGGUUGGGUUCAAAGGUAAACUUUCCACUGCGCAUAAUUAGCAUGAGUUCCCGCUCAUGGAAUGUUCCAUCGCCUGAUUCUUUUCAGCCUUUGCCUUACUCUGUGUGAGAAGGACUAAUGUAAAUAGUGACAAUGAUACGAUAAAAAAAAAAAAAAAACAAUAAAGAAUAAGUAGAGAAUCAUACUUCAAAUUUUCUAAGAACCGGUAGCAGAAAAGGCAGAUAUCAAACAUAUGGAACAAGAAUAUAACAAUCAUAUUAAGCAUUUAAGAUCAUCUUAAGCAUUUCACGCUGAUAUCAAUAUCUUUAAUGAAAAACUACAGUCGGCAAAAAGUACAAAAAAGGUGGAGAACAAGAUUAUCAUAAAAUUACUGCAAGUAGUUCAAAAAAGAUAGGAAAGAAAGUUCAUCAAUAAUUGCAAAAGCUCAUUCUCAACAGAGAAGAAAGCCAACCAAGAAAGUUACUGAUUAAUGCAGGAGCAAAUCCAACUAAUCAGUGCAAUAAACUAACAAUUCGAAACUCCAAAUGCUUACCUAACAAACCAUUUUCCCAGACCAACAAUGUGAAGCCUAAUUUGCUCUAGAGUGAACAAUUUCGUUAGUGAAACACAUUUUUGGAUCUAUGUCUGAUUUACUUUUUUUUUUUAGGGUCUACGAGUGAAUCAUUCAUUUCCAUCUUAACUUUGGCAUUUUCCUUAUUGAUCUCAUUCUCAGUCAUGCAAAUCCUUGCUCGGUAUGACAAUCAACACCAUCUGAAACACCAGCAUCAGAUGAGCACUCCCAUACAACUAGAAAGUCACCAUGCAACUGCUAUUCUAUUCCCUUUUGCUUUCAUUGAUAGUGAAUCUCUUCACAAAACAACAUCUCAAAGCGCAAUGGUUGAAAUCAGACAGAGGAAGAUGAGUCACCUGGAGGAGAAUGUUGCACAUAUGAUGGCGGCGAUCGUAUCAACGAACUGCAUAGUAUCGCCGGCCCAAUCGGGCUCCGUAGCCACCCAAGGUUUCUUGAGGUCGGGCUCCGUGGAUCUCUCGCUCUCGCUCUUUGUUUCUCUCCAUUUCAAAAUUAAGAUGCUCUUUCCUGCUCUCUCUCUCUCUCUAUUUCAAAAUUAAGAUCUAGGAACCCUGGUGAAAUUUGAACUCUCUGAAGAGUCAAGAUCGAGGACGAUGGAGGGAAAAUAAAUUUGGGAAAAAAGGAUUUGGGUGCGAACAAAAAUAUGAAUGCGAGGUAAAAAAGUAAUAAUAAAAAAAUUAUAAAAAAUUGCAUGUUAAGUAAAGCCCAUAUAAUUGACUUGGCUUUCUGUUACAUUUUGCAAGUACUUGGGCCAAUAUAUAGCUUUAUGUGAAACCCAUGUGAUUAAAAUCUUAGUUUGGGCUGGGAAAGCCCAUAUGGUUCUUUCCUAAUUUACUGUGAAUUUUUUUGUAGAUUUUAAGUAUGCUUGGGCCCACAUAAAGGUUCAACUCUUUUCCCUACAUCGAUAGAAUGGAAGGAAAACAUACAGGAGAACGAAAAGAAAUAGAUGUGGAAAAGAGAGAGAACCAAUGGAAGAUUGGCAAAUUAAAAAUCUAAUAAUAUUGAACAGAAAUAAAACUAGAAGAAACCUAUAGCAGAUUUUGAAAAUUUGCAACAACAGAAAGUUGUCAAAAAUUAAAAGAAAACUCAAGGAAAUAAAAGAAAAGGAUUUUCCCAAGCCUGACAAUCUUUUCACAUUUGUGAAUUAAAAGGAAGUAGCAACCGUGAAUAACAUACCAUGAACAACAACAACCUUAAAUUUUGACGUUAAAAUUGAAACAAAAUUAAAGAAAAUAAAUUCAAAAGAGUAAAAAAGAAGCUAACAAAACAGACAAAUUGAGAAGUGAAAAAAAAAAUAGAGAAACGAAGAUAACAAUUCAAAACUGAAAAAAAAAAAUAUUACAAUAAUAUAUUAAGAAAUGCUAUUUAGAAUGAUAACUUGAAUUAAGUACAACAAAAGAUAAAAAUUAAUAUUACAAUAAUCUAGUUGAACUAGCACAAUACAACAAACUGUUAUUAUAAGAACAAGUCCGCAAUGCUAUUUAGAAUGAUAACUCAAAUUAAGUACCAAUCAACUUAAUUGUUUAAGUUAUCACAAUUUUAUUUUCAUAUGCAAUUAAUAAAUUUACGCCAAUGCCAUUAACCUAAACCUUCAUUGAGAGAAUAAGAAAAGAGGGAGAAUAUGAAAAGCCGGACUAAUAGAGAGAACAGAACAGGGAAGAAAAGUAGGAAGUACGAAAACGAUCCACAAAGUAUCUUUCCAAAUUUUAUUUCCAUUGUGUUCAUCAAUAUUCAAAUUAUGGUAAAAAUAUCGCAUAUCAACUUGCAUGUUUAAGUUAUUACAAUUUUGUUUUAAUAGUGCCAACUACAUUCAACCAAUUAUAGAAUAUGUAUGAGAACAAACUCCCCUUUUUUCUAGAAAAUAUAAAAUAAUUUUUGUUCCAAAGCUUUUUACUUGAAAGAAUUGCAGAAUACAAAAUAUAUUAAUGCAAACUUACAGAUCAUGCUCAUGACAAAUCAAGCAAUAAACCCCAAGAUACGAAUUGAAAUUCUUCAACCUGCAUACAAAGCCAAUACAUUAAUGCAAAAUUACAGAUCAUGCUCAUGCCAAAUCAAGCAAUAGACCCCAAGAUACAAACGGAAAUUCUUCAACCUGCAUACAAAGCCUCUUUCAACAUCCAGUGGUGAAAAGAUUAGAGAGAGAGAGAGAGGAUUUGAGGAAUUUCUCCAUAUGAAGGAUAAUUUUGUUACAGAAAUACUUCUCACUUCAACUUUUAUUACUAACAGGUAAAUAAGGGCAGGUGCUUGAGGUUGGUUGAAAAUAUAAUUCAAUGUGAUUAUUCAGCAACUUCUCUUUAACCAAACUAAUAACAUUACGAAAAGCAAAGAGAAAAACAUACUUGUUACAGAUCAAAUAGGAACCUUUUGCAUUGGUUGCACAACCGUGUCCGCAAGACCAUAAGAAAAAAGCGAUGGGUGCAAGCAUGCUGCAGUCCGCAGAUGAACUAUGAUGAUGUAAUGUCCCGCAGGUUGUUACAGAUGAAUUUUUCCUUCAUUGAACAAAUGGUCUCACCGAGCUGAGACCAAGAAAAGAGAAAAGAAAAAGGGAAAAAAGAUUGGUCAUUAACAAACCUCCUGAUGAAUCACUAUUUUAGAAAAAGGCAAAGACCAGAAUAGGUAAUAGGUAAUAGGUAAUUUACUUUUCGCAUGAACAAAGCAUCCUUGGAGAGAUUGCUAGAAAGAUCAGUAUGACCAACAGCUUUGAUAGUCCUUUUUGAAAUAAUCUUUAUUCUUUUUCACUUGGUUCGUUAUUUUCUAUUAUCUUCUUCUUGAAGACGUUGUUGAAGAAAACCUCCACCGGCCCCGGCCAAUAACCCCCUUCGAAGUAUGGCAACUGUGAUCCGGUAACCUUAGCCUUGCAUUCCCACGUGGAUAUAAUUGAGUGAACAUAUGAACUCGUAGUAUGUCUGACAAUAUUCUCCUUAAGCAUUAAUAAGUAUUUGAGAAGAGGAGAAUACAAUGAAGACAUUUAAUAUGAGCAAAUAUAAGACAAACAAACAAAUGGAAACCCACAACCCUUCACACUCACUACUCCCGCAAUUUGUCAGAUAUCUCAAGAUGGCACACUUCUCACAAUAUUCAAGAUACUCUAUCUGUAAGGACAUAAAUGUUAAAAUCAAAAUCAGGUCUUGAAUGAUAUAUGAGACACAAAGAAUCACAAACAGGUGGCCUGUUGACCAAAUAACUCAGGUUCAGAGAUCAAAACUACCAGAAUUUCAUGGUAAACAAAAGUGCGUAGAGCUUCUCCGGUCGGAAGUACUUCAGAGAGUCUAUAUAGGAGAGAUAAAUGUGGCGCUGGUUACGAAAAGGGAAUUUUGAACCGAAUCCUUGAACGCACACACAUCUACGCCUUCUAUGUGUGGAACAACAAUAUAGCCUACACAAUAUUUGUAUGUAAAUAUACACAAUAGAACCUGUCAUUACAUUUUCUAUCUUUUCCUAGAGUAAAUGGAAGAUGCGCCCAUAUUAGUGAACAAGAAGAAACAAGUGUCGAAACAAACCCAUUACUAUAUAGCUCUAUUUACCCUUGAUUUUUAUGGAAACUCUGUUGGGUAAUUCUCUUCUUUAAAUAGUUUUAAAUACUGUUGUUUCACUUCAAACUUCUUGCCAACUGAUGACACUACUCUUAACUACAAGUCCUUCCUCCCCUGGUACCUGAUAUGUGUAUAAGGCCAGUUGUUGAGAAAAUUAUACUUUGCUAUACAGUACAAAAAUAUAGAGAACUGAAAUAUUAGACUAACGAAACCGGCAGGACAAAUGAUGAAAAUAGGUCGAUUAUGACUGACAUGAAGAUGAAGUAAAGAGAUGGAAGUACCAUGAUUAGUAUCAACAUACCAAAAGAAUAAAAAAAGGUGAUGCAAAUAAAUGGAACUUUGUCGACUAAACCUAAUCAUAUAAGCAACAUAGAACCAGAUAGAGACUAAACCAUAUCUAUAUCUACUUCUCUCUCCGUGUAAUAACUAGUUUUUUAGAUUAAGAUAUCUAAGACAGUAAAAAAUAUGAACCAAACAUUGGAUGCCUCUUCUGUAAAAAGUCAAUGUGGCACAGGUAAGUAAGCAGAGAAGAAAUAAGGUUACAGCUCAGCACCGGUGUUAGAGUUUAAUGGAGCGUUCAAACAGGCAAUCUUGGAGUCCAAACACAGGAGAUAUAUGGAAGCUUUUAGUGUUAAGAGUUAUUAGUAUUCAGUACUCUAAGGAACACACGCAUGAAAGAAUGAUAUAUGGAACAGCUUCUGGCAUAUGAUGAGUGUUGACUUGAAUGGCAUGAGCUAUGACUUGAAUCGCACUACAAGAAGUUAUUUUCAAGGUAUUUAAGGUUAGAUGAUCACAGUAGCUGGACAAAAUUUUAUGGGUUUAAUCCAUUUCUUCUGGAUUAUGAAAAGGUAAUGCACAAUGUUAGAUGUUCUUCAGGAAAUUUCUAAAUUUUCAUAAAUAAGAAUUUGCACUUUUGCAAUGUGUUACUCACUGCAUAAAACAUAAAUAGUUAGAUAGAAACUAAAACUCUUCAACCUGCAAACAAUGGCUCUGUUAACACCCAGUGAUGAAAAGAUUAGAGAGAGAGAGAGAAAGAGAGAGAGGACAUAAGAAUUUCUCCAUAAUUUUUUUCGAAAGAAAAGAUAUGCACCAGUAAACAGACGCUUAACCGACAUUAUAUAGGCCCAAAUAUGGAAAUGGUCGAAAUCAGAUAAAGAAAGGUAAGUCACCAGUGGCGGCGAUUGCAUUGGCGAACUGCAUAAUAUCGUCCGCAAUGAUGGUGAGAACAAUGAUGAUGAGCUUCGAAUUGAAAGUGAAGUGCCUUUUCAUGGUCCUCCCCUCAACGCUUAGCGCCAAUGGAUGAUGAUCACCGGAGCGAACCCUCCGAUCGAGCUCCUUAGCAUUUCUUGAGGUGGGGCUCGAUGGAUCGAUCGAUGGUGGCGAAGUGGAUGAAGGUGAUCGCUCGCUCUCGCUCUUUCUUUCUUUCUAUUUCAAAAUUAAGAUAGAAAAACCCUAGCGAAAUUUGAAAUCCCUCGAGAUCGACGGAAGGAAAAUUAAUUUGGGGAAAAGGAUUUCGGGCGGGAAUAAAUAGGAGCGCCAGAAGCUAGUCCAGGUGGAUUGGGGCUUCGACCGAGAGAACUUGCGACGGGACGGCCUGGUUUAGCGCCUUGUGAUUCGGCCCAAACAAUCUCAACCACGAUUGGGUUUGUUUUUCACCUGGGAACCAUAGGCCCGGAGAAGAAUCAUAACCAACAUUAAGAUUAAGUUGCAAUUCCAUCAAAAAAAUAAAAGAAAAAAGAAAAAAAAUAAAACUUGAUCCAUUGUAUGCUACACGUGGAAUAUAUGCUAAGGUUUCAUUUCGCAAGAGAUUCAAAUUUUAAAUGUUGUUUCUUUGGUAGAUUCAGCAAACAUACAAAUUUUUAGAAUUUAAUCAAAUGUCUUAUUGUACAUUUUUAAUGAAUAAAAGGUUAGGUAAUGAUUAGCCAACUUUUAUAAUUUAGAGCAAUUAGCAUGCACUACUUUAAUUUUGUGCACGUUUUCUUUUCUCACUUCAAAGUUGGACGGAGGCUUACCAAUUAGAAGGCCCCUCUGCUAUAUGGGCCGGCAAUGCUAGUGUUCCAAGCAACACUUAAAAGUCCAUGUCCCUUCAGUCUAUUUGGGCCAACCAUGUUCAUUGCUGUCCAAAGCUAUACAAUUUAACUUGUAUGACACUUCUAACUGUGUAAGCCGAGUUAGUUAGAUCAGUGUCAUGCAUGAUUUCGGCAUAAUCUGGGUUGAUUUCAAUUUGUUAAAUAGUAAAUAGUAUUAAAAUACUAAUUUUAGUGAUUAGUGUUUACAGGUCAAGAAUCGUUAUUAUAUAUAAGAGUUGAAAGUGGAUCUUACAUGUCAAACAUACUUUGCUGAUAAUUGGGAAGCUCUUUACAACAACUGGCAAUAUGGAAUGAGACUGAACUGUAUGCGUCUAAGUUAAAUCACGACGCAUUAGAAUAGAACACGUCACCUUCAGGAUAUUCACUUUCAGGAUAUAUAUUUCAUGCUUAAAAUAAACGUACAUUGGAUGGUCGAUGUAAUUUAGUAUCUACUGCAAACUCUAUAUCCAGAACUCUAAAUUCUAAACCCUAAAGGUCAAAUUGUUUGUUUUUUUUGUGUAAUUACUUGUUUAUUCUUUUCUUUUUGUCCCUGGCCCUCAUUCGUAAUGCAUUUGGAAAAGCGAAUAUUUGUAUUAGAUAAAAUAUCCAUUGUUUUUACGGAUAAAAUUGAAUCUGGGAACUAUUUCUUGGUUGCACUGGGUGCGAUUUUCUACAGGUCUUUAAAAUGGCAUCUACGUAGUCUGGGAGCCUAAACCGGACCCAAACUUUACAUAUUGGGUUGAUCUGCUGCAUGAGUGAAAACGCUAUUUUGGUCUACAUAAAUGGACCAAAUUAGGUCGAUUUAGCUUUGGCUCCCAUCAAUCCGGCCGAAAAAAAGGGAUUGGGUUCUCUUAACCGUAGCCUAUAGGCCUAAUAACAGGGUAAGCCCAACCGAGGACUAUCAACACACCAGACCCUUCCGUGGAUUUUUUCCACCAAUGCCCAAAGGUCUGUGAAUAGUAGAUUCAUAUGCCAUGGGCCCAAAUUGGUUCGACAAGAUGUGGAAUCUGUCGGCCGGUUCCAACAUGAUAUGAUAGAUAGGUCGCCAACGCAAGCCUGGGUUGAACUGCAGAAUCACUAUAAUAAACAGCAACUCCGUCUUCGGAAUUAGGCCCAAGCUAUGUUGACCGGGCUUCAAUUUUUUGUUACCAAAGCUCCAUAGGCCUAAACAGCUGCGUAAUCAUAGAAAGAGAGGCCGUGAACCCAAGCCCAAAUGUGCACUGAGAUCUGAGACUCAAGACUAAUUUUCCAAAAUUCGACCCAAACUAGUUUAACAGUGUGGUCUACCAUAUGUCUGAAGGUUUUAGGGUUUUAGAGUUUCGGGUUUAAGAUUUUCCAAAAUUCGGCCCAAACUAGAUUCAGGGGUUGAUUUGAAAUGGGUUGGUGGGCCAUCACAGAAAUAUAUAUCUCUCUACUCCCUACUCAAGAAGAAAAUAGAAACAUUUCUUUUCCUUCCUAGUUUUGCAAUGUGUUCGCUAUUAAAUAAGGUCGGUUUAAUCAUUAUUAAAUUUCAUUUAACUGUGAUCCUUGUAGUUUUUUAUUUUUUGGUUUUUCUAAGGUCAAGUGGUUUUGGUCAAAAAAAAAAAAAAAUGUAUUAGGAUCUAAUAUUUAAAUAAGGAAAAACAAGUAGAGAGGUCUCACUGAAGGCUUUCCAUUUUAGGUAAAGUCAAAAAUUGUAACUCUCGUUAGUAGCCCCGAAUGGAAAGUUUCACUUGUGGGGGUUGUCAUUUGCCCAAACUUAUGUAAAUUUCUUCUAAAAGUAGAAUAUCUAAUUUUUAAAUAGAUGCCUGAAAUUUAAAAUUUUUAAUUUAUCAUCUAUUUAAAUUUUCAUUACUUUCUGAUGUCCCAAUUAAUAAAAGGCACAAAAAAAUGCUAUUAAAAAGACUAAAAUUAUAAUGUCAAAAUUUUAAAAGUUUACUUUCUUUUAUUUAUGUAGAAUCUGAUUAAAAAGAAAAAAAAAAACUUGUGGUUAAUCUUUCCAUUUUAAUAUUGCUACCUCAAAAUUAAGCAAUUAUUCUCUUUUAUUAUUAUUCCGGAAUAGAAAAAAAAAAGAAAGAAAGAAAAAGCAACGGGAAAAAGAAUUUGUGACCAGUAUAGAUUGCCGGCACGGAAACACAAACGUUCCAUUUUGGGCAAUUUACGAGAGAUACUAUUUUCCACUUUACCUAAAAUGGAAAGCCCAGUAAUUUUAUCCAAAAUGGUACAAAGAGAAAAUAAUGUGCAAGGACAACCUUAGUGGGCUCUGAGCCAGCCCGUUAUGGCCCACUUUAUUUACACAGCCUUACCAUCUUAGAUUUGUGGGCUGUUAUUAGACCGUUGUGCCUUAAUGGGCCAGUCCAACUCCGAUCAUUAAUCUUCCGUGUUCGACAAAAUUGCCGAACUCAUUAGUUUAUUUUAUUUCUUGUUUUUUGUUUCUUUCAUUUUAUUUUUAUUGAGUUCAAGAUGCUAUAUCACUCAGCUAAGCCUCCAUUUUCUUUUCCUUUUCUUAUUCUUCUUCCUUCGUUGGCACGAAAUUAAAUACCAAUAAUGAUACCACGUAAUCUAAACUAUUAUUUUGAUGUCUAAAUAAGUUAUUCAAUAUUCAUCUAUAAUUGGCUUAAAAAUAUCUUGUCGUGAUUAAAAGCUCAGGUUGAUGAAAUGUCUAGCGUAAAUCAACAUAUUUCCUCCACCAAAUUAAUUUUUGAAACAAGAGAACUCGUGAAACAUAUUAAGUCCUUGUAAAAACAACUUAUUUGACAUAAAAAUUUCUAAAGAAUUAUAAAAAUAACUUAUUAAACAUAAAAACUAUCUAAUAAAAUUACAAGUAAGCAAUUUUACUUUUUAUAUUUUACCUACAAAAUAAUUAAUUUUACUCCCAAAAAUUAACUUGGAAGCCAAAUAAAAUAUCUAUUUUAAAAUAUUUGCUAACAUUCCUCACAUAUGAUGUGUAUAAAUUUCUUAAUUAAAUUAUAAAAUAUAUAUUUUUUAUAAAAUAUUUAUGCAUCCAAAUGUGAUAGAAAGAAAUAUGAAGCACACCAACCAUCAUAGUAAGUUGAGAAGUUUCCAUUCGUUAAGGUGCAGGCCCAUUUAAUCAUGUUAUAUAUGCAUGGGCAUUUUCUGCGAGCUCAACGUGCAGGCCAUGUAAUAAAAUCCAACUCUUAUUAUUAGUUUGGGCUACGAUUAACUAUUUUCAUGGUUAGGCUGGCCCCAUAGAAUUCGCCCUACAGCUAAACAACAACAACAGCCCAAUCACCCACUUUAGCCCAGAUACUCUUUUUUUAACUGGGCAAAUAUGCAUGAAGGCCCACUCAACUAGUGGCCGGUUGAUAUUAGACCAUUUAAUUGUUUUACUUUACAUUGAGAGCCCUUGACCUUUUUUUUUAUUGUUUAAAAAUUUAAAUUCAUCCUGCAUUUAAAUUUAUUUGCCCAAAAUCACUUGAACUCAUAAUGAAUCAACAUAUAAGAAGAUGGCAAUAGUAUGGGGAAAAAAAAAAAACAUUCAAAGUUGAAGGCAAUUCAGAAAUGACCAAAUUUUGUGGGGGGCCUCCAUGCAUUUUUACCUAUUUCUUUUUUUCGGCUUGGAAAUUCCCACAAUAAAUUAAAGUAAGAUUCAGACAGGAAGAAGAGAGGAAAAACUAAAACUAAAACAUACAUUCAACACUACAAGUGAUGAGUUUUGAUUAGAGUUUUAAAUAAUUUUGUUAGAUAAUUUUGAUGUCUAAUAAAUUAUUUUCAUAAUUUUAUAGGAUAAGUUUUAUGUUACAUAAGUUAAUUUUUUAAGGAUUUAGUAUGUUUCAUGAGUUUUCUUGUUCCAAUAAUUAAUUUGGUGGAGGAAAUAUGCUAUCUUAUGCUAGACAUUUCAUCAAUCUGAGCUUUUAAUCACGACAAAAAAAAUUUAUGCAGAUUAUAGAUAAUAUCAGAUAAUUUAUUUGGACACUCAAAUAACAGUUUAGAGUAUUUUGGUAUUACUAUAAUUGGUAUCUAAUUUCGUACAAUGGGCUCAUUACUCCCCUGCUCUAGCUUGGCCCAUUCGAUGCGUGCUAGUAGGGCGGAUAAUCCAUGAGUUUAACGAUUCCAUGCAUAUAUGUACAUAUAUCCCUAGACCGCCGGUAUCCAUAUUAAUAUAUGCCUACACCGGUAGACCGGUAGAAGCAAAGAUCUGGACUGCUGUCGGUCCCUGGCACGUUUAUGGUCGCCCCAUCUCUUCCCGGAAAAAUGCGGUCGCGGGAUGUGGCGCGCAGGGGCGAAGUGGGCGGUAGGGGCUACUCUCCUUAGGGCCGGGGGUGGAGCAGCUGUCAUCGCUUCGUCGGACGAUCCAUCGACCUCCCUUAAAAUCUGCACCAUCGUUCCCCUUCGCCUCUACCGCGAUGCCGUCACUGCUGCCGUCAUCGCCUUCGGUACGCCUCCCUCUUCACUUUCUUCGUUUUCUUCAUCCCCAUCCAUUUAUAUGUUUAGAUCCCAAGUUCCGCUCACAGCUGUUCGAUGAAUCAACAAAAAUUAAUGUAACCUGAAUUGAAAUGCAAAUCGGAACCCAAUCAGAAAAACCAUCUGUUUAGAGUUAUCAAUCUGCAAGAUCAUAGAAAUUAAUGUACUCUUUCCGUGAUUGUUUGCUUUUUUCUUCUUCUUUUUUUUUAUUUUUUUAUUUAUGGCAGUUCCUGUGAAGGCCAUUGAAUUAUUUCUGGAUAUUAGGACCAAAGUUGAGAAGCAUGUGCGGGUACGCCACAUACUGCUCGCUUUUAACUAUUCGUAUUUUGACUGUAUUUAGUAUAUUGAAUAUGUUUAAUAAUUUUAAUAGCUCUGGUCAAUUAUAAUCAGUUUUGAUGCUUCAUUUUCUGUUGGUUAGGACUUUACAGAGCCAUCAUCAGACAAGCUACUUCCCGACCUACUUCCUGAGGAACAAUAUGUAUAUACUCUUGUUCUGGAUCUCAUUGAGACUCUUGUGUAUUCCAACUGGCAGGUAUCUUUUGUUGUUGAUGUGGUAUUUACUCUUUUGGAUUGUUUUAGAUGGUAUGCAAUAAGUGGAAAUGAAUAAGUGGGAAUGAAUUUACUUAAGGGCUUAAGUGACUGCAAUCAUCUACAAAGAAUUAUGUCUUAUAUAUGUGUUUUUACAGCACAUUGAUUUACAAGCUCAUCUGUUGACGGAUCUUGACCUCCUUCUAUACUAGUUUAACCUGCUCUUUUGCUCGGCCCAAGUAGAUUUCAAUAGUUACUCUGCACGUCAGGGUGUUGCAUGCCAUCUUGCAUUAUUGUUCAUCUAUUAUGUUACCAGUUGUGAUACCAUGGCUUUGUGGUGUCAUUCAUCCCCCUUACUUUCUCUUUGGUUAAAAGCUUUGGAACAGUAGCUUGUGAAUACCACCUUAAUUAAACUAUUGUUUCUUCCAUUGGUUGACAGUCCUAUUUGUAUGUGAUCUAACAGUUUCAUCCUGUAUUUUGUUUUUCAAUUGUCAUCGUCAUCUUGCUUGGCAAGUUUUUACUCAAUUAUAUAGUUACAUGUAUUUUGUUGGCAAGUUCUUGGCAUUGAUAAUGUGUUACAAAACUAUUAUACAUGCACAAUUCAUCUGGAAGUGUUGAUGAGGAUAUGUCGCACGCUUCUCAAUCCCAACUUGUGAUGCAGGAAUGAUAGGAUAUGUUGCUUAUUUUAGAGAAUGGAUAACCAAUUAUGCAGAUAUUAUAUGAGUAAAUGCUACAAAGUAGAGAUAUAAGAAGAAGAAUAUAGAGUCAAAAUAAUAGAUGGAAGAGGAAAAAUAGUAUUUUAAGUUGUUAAGCCUUGCGUUAAUUUCAUCACAUACAAGACAUUAUUCUUAAAGAAGUUGCCUUUCUUGUUUGUGUUCUGCAUGUUAGUGCAUAAAAUUUUCUGAUAUCCUAGUUUUUUCUAUUUGUUGGAAGAAAGUUCUUACAGCUGAUUCUACCAGGAUUAGUGUUAUGCUCAAGGAUUUAAGUAUCCUGGCACGGGGUCGUGCCGAUGCGUGCCGGUCACAGAAAAUAUAUGUAUUGUUGACACAUAAUGGCAUGAAAUAUUUAUUUUCUUGAGCAACAAAAUAUUUUAACUGUUUAUUAUGUAUCUUUAUCAAAUCUUUUAAACUUUAUUGAGAAAUUUAUUUACUAAUUUAAAGAAUAGAGGGUUUGAACUAUGCCAUUGGCACAGGGUUGUAUUAUAUUGAUAUCUUAUUGGUAUGAUACGAUACGGUGGAUCGCCGAUAGGCACUUUAAUCCUUGGUUAUGCUAAUGAUAGAAACUGGUAUAAUAUAGGUUUUUCUCUUUUUUUCCUAACCCCCAAUAUAGUUAAAUCUUUCGGAUGACCUGAAUCCUUCAAACCUUUUGACAGGCCUAGUACAUAAGAAUAAUGUUGCUAUAUAUCAAUUUUUUUUUUUUUUCCUUCUGUAAUGCCAACCUUUUUGCCAUAAGCUUAAAUAUUCAAGCUGUGUUACUCAUAUAUUCUGGUAGAUUUUCCUAGGAUUGUAUUCAGUUCUUUGCUAAUUCGGUUGGUAGAGCAUGUCUCACAUUGAAUGUUUCAUAUGGUCUACUAUGUGUUUCCAUAUUGUGCUUUUUGUUCCUUUGGGGAUGAUAUUACCAUUUUUUUUCUUCAGGUUUUUUUUGGGGUGGGGUGUUGUCUAAUUGUUUUUUUGUCUUCCCCAGCGUGAUAGAGGAUGGAGAACAUUUAAACGACCUGGUGUUGAAGGUUUCCUGGAACAUCUUGCAAAGUUUUAUGAAAUUGUUGUGCACUCUGAUCAGCUAAAUAUGGUAAUUUGAUUGCAUUACUUUUCGACAACUAUUGGCCGUCUGCAUUCAUUUUAACAUUCCCAUAUCUAUAUCUUUAGUAUGUAGAUCCUGUUGUGGAAAGGUUGGAUCAAAAAGGUUGUAUUCGCUUACUGUCAAGAGCUGCAACAAAGUACCAAAAUGGGAAACAUUAUCGGGUAUGUUGGAUGUUCGUGCAGCUAAAAGAUCCCUUUUUUGGGUGAAAAGCUACUGUGAAAUGACUGUAGUUCCAUCCCCAAGAAAGAAAGUUUCAGACACUUUUAGGCAUAUAUAUUACUUCAGGAAUACACUCAAAAGUAUAAAAGUCAAGUUUGAGGGUGUUCUCUAUAUAAAAGUCAAGUUUGAGGGUGUUAUCUGUAUAAAAGUCAAGUUUGAGGGUGUUCAUUCUGUAUAUUAUCUGGCUGUAGUUCCAUUUUUAGCAUUUGAGUUGUGUCAUGCCAUUUACUUCGCCUCGCUCUUGUUGCACAACUAUUGUAUGUUUUCAUAAGCGCAUGCUGCUUACAGGACCUAUCAAAGCUGAAUAGAGAUCCCUCACGCAUUCUUUAUGUCACUAGACAUGCUCUAGAGUGAAGUCUUCAGCCCAAAAAUUGCGUGCCCAUAAAACCAUGGAAGCUUGAAAAUGACGAUACUGCACUACUGGAUCUUCUUCCAUUUCUAGAAUGUAAGCAACAUUUUAAACAUAACUCUUCCAUUAAAGUUGGCUUUAUUUUCUGUAAAUUUUUUACUUGCUAUAUGUAGUUUGGGGUGUAAGAAUUUCUUUUGUUUAUUACAGUUGUGGCUGUCCAUAGACCUGCUGACAUAAGGUCUGUCCUUGCAUCCUAUCAAGGCCGUGAUAUUGCUACCGAAUUUAUCGAGCGUUCAAAAGAAUAUAAGAGGUAAGCACUAUCUUGUAAAUACAUAAUUGCUUCGGAGCACUCAGAUAGUGCCGCUCUGAAUUUUAUUCUCAUUAGCUAGCGUUUGCAUCAAUGAAGUGUGAAAGCUGUGAAAUUAUAUACCCUACCUGGUUUUACUUCCUGUACUCAAUUGGAGCAGGCUUUUCGUCAGCCAAGGUGAUAGAGUACUCAAAUAUUAAUGUCAACAUUGAGGCAAACUAGAUAGCUGUAAAAGUUUGAUAAGACAACCAUUCCUUCAGGGAUGGAUGCUAAAACAAUGCAGCAAAGUGCAAACGAUACGAAAGUAAGUUCUUCUGUGCAGCAAAGUCCGAACGCCUCUCAGUUGAGGGCGGGCCGCUUUGUUGUACUCUAUUUUUUUUAAUUGAAUCAUUAUAGCUGCUACCAUCUGUAAAGGUAAUGUAAAUAGAUUAUUGUUGCCUUGAUCUAGCUUCUUUUACCGAAUAAACAGUCGGUUCAGUAAUUAUAUGCACUAGCUGGUUAGAUCAUGCUAUGGUGCCUAAUGUGAAGAGCCUCAUAUUCUUUCUAUCAAUUGCAAUUCGUGGGAUUUUUUAUUUGUUUCAACACAUUGGAUCUUAUCAAUUUAAAAUUUAUUUUCUUGUUCUCUGGUAGGCGGAUGCAAGAAGAGAAGCAUGCAAGUUUCUGGAGGCGUUGAGGGCACAACCGGUUUGAAGGAGCUUUUGUCUCGCACAUGCUUGCGUGAAUUGUUGGCUUUUCGACUCUAGCAAAGGCUUAUUGAAAGUGUUGAAAUCCAGUGGUCUUUUAUCCUUCAAUUAUAUAAAUUUUUUUUUCAAUUUUGGUGGCUUUUUUCGUAAUUCCAUUAGAUAUGCUGGUGAUGAACGAUAAUUUGUCAUUUGCAUGGUUAUUUGCUCUUUCUAGUGUAGUGAUAAUGAUAACAUGUUAAAGUUGGGUACUCUGUAACCUUCUAUUGAACUUGCUCAUGAUGGCAUCAUGGCUAUUACAAGAUGGUGAUUUUUCCUGUUGCGCUAUUACGCAGCAGCUGCUGCAUCUUUUAAUAGUGAUUAUCUUUUUGUUUUGACAUUCUCUUAUUGAUUGUUUCCACUUGCCUUUGUCUUACCUUUUCUGUUUGUUGCUUCCACUUUCCUCUGUAUUCCUUCAGUGCUCUAUUAUCAGCAGAGAUCCUUUUACUCGCUAAGCCGCAUUGUAUGUAGUGGUGAAAAUUUGCUUUUCCUUUUUUUUAAUAAAAAAAUCGCUUAGAAUUAGUAUGUUGGAACUCUUUAUUUCUUUUCUUUCUUUUUCUAAGACCUUGAUGGAAUGCGUCUUCAUGGACAAGAACAAGAAACUCAGUUCUAAUGUAAUAUUGAUCACCGGAUUAAGGAUAGUUCACAUCUGCAUUUUGUUGGGUGCCCGACGAUUCUCUCUAUCACUUGUUUUACCUUUCCACUGUGAACCACUGAACCGUAAUAAGCAAUUGGCUGAUGAAUUAGUAGUUGUUCUUGUUUCUUUAGUCCCUUAAGUAAUUCCUGUACCUGCCAUAUUUCUUAGAUUAUUUAUAAGUGAUAUUCAAGCUUUAUUUCAAAUGCAUAUCCGAUUUGUGCGCAGCAGGGUUAUGAAAACCCGCGAGAGCAACUAGACUAAUUGUAUGGCAUUGGAUGGACGUCUUCAUUCUUGGGUACGUACUCUCCAGGCGUGAUACUUAAUGCGUAAGCUACAGUAUUGCACAGGUUGAUACGCACAGUAUUGCACAGGUUGAUACGCACAUCGCCUAGUAUCCAUCGCUUACGACUAGGACUGCUGGGGUAUCUGCCUAGUAUCUAUUGCUUACGGCUAGGACUACUGGGGUAUUAAAUCUCAUUUGCUCCCCCAUCUCAUUGUGACUGUGCCGGUUGUUAAAAUUAGGUCCGCCUCAUAAAGUGCAUUCUUAGGAGUUAAGCUUUCAUUUGUCUAUAUUUUUUGAAAAAGUAUCUCUUGUUUCCCAUUCCCAUAAGAAUGAAUGCUAUGAGAUAAUUUUUCCUUGUUCACUAAUAAAUCAACUAAUUAAACUCAUGUUUCUAUAAUUGAUUCGAUCCCCUGAUCCAAUUGGGGGCAAGCGCCUACCAAAAGAUCGUCUGUAUUUACAAAAAGGUUGCUUGAAUUUAUCCUAAUAAAAUGAAAUUUUGAUAUACAGUGCAACUACAAAUAGACCUAGCAAGUAAUGUACUUCUCUUGUACUUCUCUUGAUCAGGGUUAACUCACAUUCUUCUCACAUAAAAGCAGUUAAAAACAGUAGUUCUUUUCUUCUUCUGUUUUGUUUCCGGUUGUAGUGGGGUGCAAUGGCAUUUUCUGAUUGUUAGCACGUAGAAUGUUGAACAUAGAAUGAUGCUGCCGCUAAUCAGUCCGAGUGUAUUUAAACCGAACCAUCUGUGAUCAAUUAUAGAAUAUUUGGAUGAGAAGGUGCAAAUCUGACUACAUGAGGUUUAAAUUUAUCAUUUGACUGGUUGUACGGACUACGCGCAUGUAAUAGAUGUAGUUAAAAGUGGAAAGAAAUUUAAUAGUUCUAAACAAUGAUAUCCAAAGAAAAUAAUUUCAAAUAAGAAAUAACUAAUAGUCUGUGAGAGCCUCUGGAACUAAACAGUAAGAGUUUCACUAAGGGGGUGUUUGGUUUAACGUAAAACUGCGAAAAAAAUUUUAGGUGAAAAAAAUUUCUGUGGAAAAAAUAUUUUAUGUGGUGCAGUGUUUGGUUUGUAGUAAAAAAAAAAAAAGCUUUCGAUGAUGGUUGUUUGGUUGAAAAACAAGAAAAAGUAGAUAAAAGCCUAUAUAAUAUAUUUUUUAUUAUAUAUAUUAUUAUUAUAUAAUAAUUAAUAUACUAUAUAUAUUAUUAUUAUAAUUUUUACAUAUAAAUUAAAUAUAUUUAAAAUUAUAAUAAAUAUAUUACAUAAUANAACUAUAUUUAUAAAUAUAAUAUUAUAUAAUAAUAUAUUUAUAUAAAAAGAAAUAUAUAUAUAUAUAUAAAACACAUAAUGAAUGAGGGAGAGAGUCCACAGGUCACGUGGACUCUCCCUCACGUGGUCCACGAGGUGAAGUUCACCUCGUGGACCGCGUGCUCCAACAGCAAGCUUUUCGUGCGCCGCGAUAUUUUCACAGCAAGCUUUUCGUUUUCCCAAAAUAUGUAAAAUAAGUUUUCUGGAAAAAAUUUUACAGGCAACAAAACAGCAGAAAAUUUUUUUUCAACCGAAAAUUUUUUUUCGGAGCCAUUUUCGGACGAACUAAACACACCCUAAGGCGGUGUUUGGUUCCCCGUAAAAAUGCCCCGAAAAUUUUUUUUCCGCUGAAAACUCUUUUUCUGAUGUUUGGUUAGCUGUAAAAAAAAAAUUUUGAAAAACCUUUUUUACAUAUUCUCGGAAAAAAAUGUGUUUUCGUUUUCCGCUCGCAAUCGGCGGAAAACGAAAACUGUGAGCUCUAAAAUCACGGCUCAGGGCAUUUGAGUAUGCACGGUCCACGAGGCAAGAAUGCCUAGUGGACCGCGUGAGAGAGAGUCCACGGUAGACCCCGUGGACUCUCUCCCACUCUUUUAUAUAUAUAUAUANNNNNNNNNNNNNNNNNNNNNNNNNNNNNNNNNNNNNNNNNNNNNNNNNNNNNNNNNNNNNNNNNNNNNNNNNNNNNNNNNNNNNNNNNNNNNNNNNNNNNNNNNNNNNNNNNNNNNNNNNNNNNNNNNNNNNNNNNNNNNNNNNNNNNNNNNNNNNNNNNNNNNNNNNNNNNNNNNNNNNNNNNNNNNNNNNNNNNNNNNNNNNNNNNNNNNNNNNNNNNNNNNNNNNNNNNNNNNNNNNNNNNNNNNNNNNNNNNNNNNNNNNNNNNNNNNNNNNNNNNNNNNNNNNNNNNNNNNNNNNNNNNNNNNNNNNNNNNNNNNNNNNNNNNNNNNNNNNNNNNNNNNNNNNNNNNNNNNNNNNNNNNNNNNNNNNNNNNNNNNNNNNNNNNNNNNNNNNNNNNNNNNNNNNNNNNNNNNNNNNNNNNNNNNNNNNNNNNNNNNNNNNNNNNNNNNNNNNNNNNNNNNNNNNNNNNNNNNNNNNNNNNNNNNNNNNNNNNNNNNNNNNNNNNNNNNNNNNNNNNNNNNNNNNNNNNNNNNNNNNNNNNNNNNNNNNNNNNNNNNNNNNNNNNNNNNNNNNNNNNNNNNNNNNNNNNNNNNNNNNNNNNNNNNNNNNNNNNNNNNNNNNNNNNNNNNNNNNNNNNNNNNNNNNNNNNNNNNNNNNNNNNNNNNNNNNNNNNNNNNNNNNNNNNNNNNNNNNNNNNNNNNNNNNNNNNNNNNNNNNNNNNNNNNNNNNNNNNNNNNNNNNNNNNNNNNNNNNNNNNNNNNNNNNNNNNNNUAUAUAUAUAUAUAUAUAUAUUAUAUUACAUAUUUAUUAUAUAAUAUAUUUUAUUUAUAAAUAUAAAUUAUAAUAAUUAAAUAUAUUAUGAUAAUUAUUAUAUAUUAAUAAUAUAUAAUAUAUAUAAUUAGAGAAAAUAUAUAUAAUAAUUAUAAUAUUAUUAAUAAUAUAUAUAAUAAAAAAAUAUAUUAAAUAGUUUUUUAUCUAUUUUUUUUUUUCUUUCAACCAAACAACCGUUACGGAAAACUAUUUUUCUUUUCCUACAAAUCAAACACAAACAACGUAAAACUUUUUUUCCACCGAAAUUUUUUUUUCCAUCGAAAAUUUUUUUUCCACAGUUUUACGUGGAACCAAACACACCCUAAACAUUUGGGACCGUUGGGUACUGUUGAAAUUGGGCAUUGUACUUGUACCGUCAAAUAAAAGCCUCGUGAGAAGAAAUUAAAAAAAUAUAAAUAAAAAAAAAUGAAAACCCCGUCUAAGCGUUUACAAGAGAAGUUAUCCUGAAAUGUUGACGACCCAGGCUUUGUGCGACAAUCCCCUCAUCGGCAGGUCGCGUGCGAUAGGGAUUGGGAUUUGGAUUUGGAUAGAGAGGCAGCAAGAAGGCAAGCAAAGCACUCUCAGACAGCUCGGCCGCGCCCUCCCAGCCCACUCUUUCGGCCGAUGGCUUCCCUCUCCGCCGUGGGCCUUCUUCCCCUGCCCUUUUCCAACUCCCCCAAACCCCCACCCAAACCUUCCCUCUCCUUUUCUUUCCGCCACUCUCCAGCGUUUCUGGGGGGCAUUCCAAGCAGAAGCAGAAGCAGAAGCAGGAGCAAAAGCGCUUCUCGGCCCAUCUCCUCUCGGGUCUUCGCGUCUUCUGAGCUCCUCGACCCGCAGGAACUGGAUGCACCUCAAGACUACUUGGCAGACUCGCAGGUUCCAUUUUCCCUUUCUCCUCCAUAUCCCCUUUCUUUUCCCGGUAUAUCGAACCCUAAAAAACUUGGAAUUUUACUUUAACUGCUCUCUCUCUCUCUUCUGAGAGCCUUUGCAGGUUCCCGAGACUUCUCUGCUUUCAUCUGAGGCUGCGGCUGACAACGUACUCUCAUACUUAUUUUCGCUUAUUAUUGUUCAUGCUGCUCUAUGCCCUCUUCUUCCUAUUUAGUUGUAUGCGUCAGUUAAUCUUUGCAAUGUUUUUGAUUUAUGUGAUUCCUCUGGAUGCGUCCUGCUCUUCCCUAUAGCCACCAUCAUAUACUAACGUCGCUUUUACUCAGAUUGUAAUCCUGUGGGAACGAAACGCUCUAUGAGAUUGUGCCUCUUACCUCUUAUUUCCAUUUGGUAGCAACCACACUGCAUGACGAAUUUGUGUCGGCCAAAGUGGUAUUAGUUUGUGAUUUCUUUAUCAAAACGUCUAGGCCUUGUUUCGUACUGUUGCAUUACUUUUUCCCCCCCUGUAGACAUAUGUAGUCCAUGCGAUUGAGUGUUUUUUGCCCUUUUGAACACAAAUUUCGUGCUGCUGAGGGUGUUCUAUACAUCUAUAGGGUUUGUUUCGCAAGAAUAAAAGAAACACUUGGUGGUAAUUCUUCUUCUUUAUUAUUAUUUUUUUUCCCUUUUGAAAGGAUUCCACUUUGCAUUUGGCCGGGGUGCGUACAAGCUAACUAACAAUAACAUGAACAGAGCAGUCUAUCCACUGCAUCCAAACCUCCUUGAAUGUGUUUAAGAAAGCUGAACAUACACUGGUUUCUUCAAUUACUUUUCUCAUUGAUGUUCUAAUGAUCUUUAGAUUCCAUUGAUUUACAUUCUAUGGUCUUUGCAUUUUUUUUUUUCCCUUUUUGUCAUAAUUUCUAAGUAACCACUCUGCUCUCAAUAUGGUCACCACUGCCCAAUGAUGGACAAGAGCAAUUUAUCAGUAUUAAUCUUUCAAUUGAUUGCUUAAAUUUGCUUCUUGCUAGGUGUAACAUGUUGUAGCCAAAUUGUUUGUUCCUUAUUGUAAGCAGCUCCCCUUGUGUUAUCAGAAGCUAAAAAUGAAGAAUAAAUUGAUGCCAUGCUUUUCUUUGUAUUACUUUUAUUUUUGCGAGUACAUCUCCCCCCCCCCCCCACCCAAAACCCAAAC